AGAAAGAACACCGGUGGCGAAAGCGCUCUACUGGAUCAUUACUGACACUCAGAGGCGAAAGCUAGGGUAGCAAAAGGGAUUAGAUACCCCUGUAGUCCUAGCCGUAAACGAUGGAUACUACAUGUUGCGUCUUUAAUGCAGUAUGGUAGCUAACGCGUUAAGUAUCCCGCCUGGGGAGUACGCUCGCAAGGCUGAAACUCAAAGGAAUUGACGGGGGCCCGCACAAGCGGUGGAGCAUGUGGUUUAAUUCGAUGCAACGCGAAGAACCUUACCAAGGCUUGACAUACUACAGAUUUCUUUGAAAGAGGAAAGUGCCUUCGGGAAUGUAGAUACAGGUGGUGCAUGGCUGUCGUCAGCUCGUGUCGUGAGAUGUUGGGUUAAGUCCCGCAACGAGCGCAACCCUUAUUUUUAGUUGCUAAUUUAUUUUAGGUUUUCUAGAAAGACUGCCGGUGACAAACCGGAGGAAGGUGAGGAUGACGUCAAGUCAGCAUGCCCCUUAUGCCUUGGGCUACACACGUGCUACAAUGGUUAAGACAAAGAGUUGCGAGCUCGUGAGAGUCAGCUAAUCUCAUAAACUUAGCCUAAGUUCGGAUUGUAGGCUGCAACUCGCCUGCAUGAAGUCGGAAUCGCUAGUAAUCGCUGGUCAGCCAUACAGCGGUGAAUCCGUUCCCGGGCCUUGUA
rnacentral:rRNA from 1 species